rnacentral:rRNA from 1 species
UACAGAGGUCCCAAGCGUUGUUCGGAUUCACUGGGCGUAAAGGGUGCGUAGGCGGUCGGGUAAGUCUGAUGUGAAAGCCCCGGGCUCAACCUGGGAAUGGCAGUGGAUACUGGACAGCUAGAGUGCGGUAGAGGGUAGUGGAAUUCCCGGUGUAGCAGUGAAAUGCGUAGAGAUCGGGAGGAACACCAGUGGCGAAGGCGGCUACCUGGACCAGCACUGACACUGAAGCACGAAAGCGUGGGGAGCAAACAGG